AUUGAACGCUGGCGGCAGGCUUAACACAUGCAAGUCGAGCGGAGAUGAGGAGCUUGCACCUUAUCUUAGCGGCGGACGGGUGAGUAAUGCUUAGGAAUCUGCCUAUUAGUGGGGGACAACAUUCCGAAAGGAAUGCUAAUACCGCAUACGCCCUACGGGGGAAAGCAGGGGAUCUUCGGACCUUGCGCUAAUAGAUGAGCCUAAGUCGGAUUAGCUAGUUGGUGGGGUAAAGGCCUACCAAGGCGACGAUCUGUAGCGGGUCUGAGAGGAUGAUCCGCCACACUGGGACUGAGACACGGCCCAGGCUCCUACGGGAGGCAGCAGUGGGGAAUAUUGGACAAUGGGCGGAAGCCUGAUCCAGCCAUGCCGCGUGUGUGAAGAAGGCCUUUUGGUUGUAAAGCACUUUAAGCGAGGAGGAGGCUACCUGGAUUAAUACUCUAGGAUAGUGGACGUUACUCGCAGAAUAAGCACCGGCUAACUCUGUGCCAGCAGCCGCAGUAAAAC
rnacentral:rRNA from 1 species